rnacentral:lncRNA from 1 species
AGAAAUAUAAAAUAAUUAUUUUUUUUAUUUACGCGGGUCAACUUGCACCGCCCCACUGUUAGCCCGUGCAAACUACGGGUUAUGCAGGACAGGGGGUUAUAUUAGUUAGUUCACUUCACUUUUUGAUGGUGACCCACAUGGCAUGUCCCGAAUUGUUAUCUUUAGUUAUAAAGAGAUAAUGAAAGUUAAGUAAUGAAGAUAUACGAGAAUAAAUUAAUUAAAAAUAUAAAAAAAUGUUCUUACAGGUCUAGAAACAAAUAACUUCUUUUCCUCUGCACCUGUCGGCUUCACGGUCUUCUAAUUUGGGCUUGAGCUUUCGGUUACACUGUUCACUGAUUUGGGCUUGGAUGUAAGUUAUAAACCUUCACUUGUUGGGUUGGAUCAAUUGGAAUUCUCGACCUUUGGUUUCACUAUCAACUCUCAGGUAGGGUAGGUGUGUGUACCUGCAAGGAGCUCCAAUGAUAAAGUCAUAAUCAAUUUAGUUAAUUAUCAGAUAAAAUUCACUCUACCUAACUCAUGGGUUGAUCACCUAUUUAUAGUACUCACUUAUUGGGCUUUUACUUUUUGUACCUUACUUUUAUUAAACAUAUUGUGCAUGUUUAAGCCUAUUUAAUGGGUUUUGCUACAAUAUUUUGACAUUUGAUUAUUGGUUUCUUCUCCAUGCACCCCCACAUUUUUCUUCAUGCACCCCACAACUUUAAAUAUUUCAAAAUUAACCUUGAUCUAUAAUUUGAAAAGGGACACCGUGCUGGACUUCCACUGUUGUUGUUCAUCUUCAUCAUUGAGUAUCAACUACUGUGGAGGAUCUUUGUAAUUGUUCAGAGCAAGGUGGAGGAGUAUGCAACGUUGUCAGAGUGUUGUUUGGGUUGUAGAGGUAAAAGUUAAGUUUUUUUUUAGGAAUAUGGUGGCUAUGGAGAUUUCGAGGUUACCGGAUAUCGGGAUCCGAUAAUGUAUUCCAGAUUCAUAAAUCCAGAAUUAAUUAAAUUGUGUUUUUCGAAUGAGGGGUGUUUCGAAAGUUAAAAUAUCAUAAAUUGUUGUUUCCUGGAUGUAGAAAUCCAGAACAUUCCCAGAUGCAGAAAUCUGAGAUUUUACCGAAAGCAUAAAUCCAGGAUUUUACCAUAUUUGUGAUCCGAAAUUCUACCAAAUUUUAUAAUCUAGAAUGUGAAAAAUCAUUUACGAAAACAAAAAUCCAUACAAAAAACGGAUGUCUAGAUCUGAAAACAAAAAAAAAUACUUACCUUUGCUAAGAGCACUCCAAAUGACCAAGAAGAAAUGUGUGAGUUGGAAGGAGAAUGAUUUGGAGGUGCCGCGCUGGUAGAAGAUGAAGAAACAGGAAAGGCUGCACAAGAAAACCAGCCCCUGCC